rnacentral:rRNA from 1 species
GAUAACGCUGGCGGUAUGCCCCAACACAUCUCAAGUCGAACGAACAGUUAUACUUUAGUGGCGGACGGGUGAGUAAUACGUGAGAAUCUACUUUAGGAAGGGAAUAACAAUUGGAAACGAUUGCUAAUGCCCUAUAUGCUUAGCAGUGAAACAGAUUUAUCUGCCUGAAGAUGAGCUCGCGCCUGAUUAGCUAGUUGGUAGAGUAAAAGCCUACCAAGGCAACGAUCAGUAGCUGGUUUGAGAGGACGAUCAGCCACACUGGGACUGAGACACGGCCAGACUUCUACGGAAGGCAGCAGUGGGGAAUUUUCCGCAAUGAGCGAAAGCUUGACGGAGCAAUACCGCGUGAGGGAAGAAUGCCUGUGGGUUGUAAACCUCUUUUUAGGGAAGAAAAUAUGACGGUACCUAAAGAAUAAAGCAUCGGCCUAACUCCGUGCCAGCAGCCGCGGUAAUACCGGGGAUGCAAGCGUUAUCCCGGAAUUACUGGGCGUAAAGCGUCUGCAGGUGGCUUAAAAAGUCUGCUGUUAACAUAUUAGAGCUCAACUCUGAGUAACGCAAGUUGGAAACUGUUAAGCCUAGAAGUAUGGAUAUGGGUUU